UACGUAGGGGGCGAGCGUUGUCCGGAUUUAUUGGGCGUAAAGAGCGCGCAGGCGGUCGUUCAAGUCGCGUGUGAAAGCCCCCCGGCUCAACUGGGGAGGGUCACGCGAUACUGAUCGACUGGAAGGCAGGAGAGGGUAGUGGAAUUCCCGGUGUAGUGGUGAAAUGCGUAGAUAUCGGGAGGAACACCAGUGGCGAAGGCGACUACCUGGCCUGUUCUUGACGCUGAGGCGCGAAAGCUAGGGGAGCAAACGGG
rnacentral:rRNA from 1 species